CUGGUUGAUCCUGCCAGUAGUCAUAUGCUUGUCUCAAAGAUUAAGCCAUGCAUGUCUAAGUAUAAGCAAUUAUACAGCGAAACUGCGAAUGGCUCAUUAUAUAAGUUAUCGUUUAUUUGAUAGUGCCUUACUACUUGGAUAACCGUGGUAAUUCUAGAGCUAAUACAUGCUAAAAACCCCGACUUCGGAAGGGGUGUAUUUAUUAGAUACAAAACCAAUGCCCUUCGGGGCUCUUUGGUGAUUCAUGAUAACUAUACGAAUCGCACGGCCUUGCGCCGGCGAUGGUUCAUUCAAAUUUCUUCCCUAUCAACUUUCGAUGUUUGGGUAUUGGCCAAACAUGGUUGCAACGGGUAACGGAGGGUUAGGGCUCGACCCCGGAGAAGGAGCCUGAGAAACGGCUACUACAUCCAAGGAAGGCAGUAGGCGCGCAAAUUACCCAAUCCCGACUCGGGGAGGUAGUGACAAUAAAUACUGAUACAGGGCCCUUUCGGGCCUUGUAAUUGGAAUGAGUACAAUUUAAAUCCCUUAACGAGGAACAAUUGGAGGGCAAGUCUGGUAAU
rnacentral:rRNA from 1 species